rnacentral:rRNA from 1 species
GAAUUUAAAAUGUUUUUUAAAAAAAAGUUUUUAAUAGUCUUUAUAUAUUAAAUUUAUAAAAUAGUAAAUUAUAGAAGAAAUUUUUUUCUUAAUUUCUUAAAUAAGAAAUAAGUUAU